rnacentral:rRNA from 1 species
GCGUGUGUGAAGAAGGUCUUCGGAUUGUAAAGCACUUUCGGCGGGGACGAUGAUGACGGUACCCGCAGAAGAAGCCCCGGCUAACUUCGUGCCAGCAGCCGCGGUAAUACGAAGGGGGCUAGCGUUGCUCGGAAUGACUGGGCGUAAAGGGCGCGUAGGCGGAGUGUACAGUCAGACGUGAAAUUCCUGGGCUCAACCUGGGGACUGCGUUUGAUACGUGCAUUCUUGAGUGAGGAAGAGGGUUGUGGAAUUCCCAGUGUAGAGGUGAGAUUCGU